CCUACGGGGUGCUGCAGUGGGGGAUAUUGCACAAUGGGGGAAACCCUGAUGCAGCGACGCCGCGUGAGUGAAGAAGUAUUUCGGUGUGUAAAGCUCUGUCAGCAGGGAAGAAAAUGACGGUACCUGAUUAAGAAGCCCCGGCUAACUACGUGCCAGCAGCCGCGGUAAUACGUAGGGGGCAAGUGUUAUCCGGAUUUACUGGGUGUAAAGGGAGCGUAGACGGCAGUACAAGUCUGGAGUGAAAUCCCGGGGCUUAACCCCGGAACUGCUCUGGAAACUGGGCAGCUGGAGUGCAGGAGAGGUAAGUGGAAUUCCUGGUGUAGCGGUGAAAUGCGGAGAUAUCAGGAGGAACACCAGUGGCGAAGGCGGCUUACUGGACUGUAACUGACGUUGAGGCUCGAAAGCGUGGGGAGCAAACAGGAUUAGAUACCCUAGUAGUC
rnacentral:rRNA from 1 species